GGGUUGUGAGGUUAAGCGACUAAGCGUACACGGUGGAUGCCCUGGCAGUCAGAGGCGAUGAAGGACGUGCUAAUCUGCGAUAAGCGUCGGUAAGGUGAUAUGAACCGUUAUAACCGGCGAUUUCCGAAUGGGGAAACCCAGUGUGUUUCGACACACUAUCAUUAACUGAAUCCAUAGGUUAAUGAGGCGAACCGGGGGAACUGAAACAUCUAAGUACCCCGAGGAAAAGAAAUCAACCGAGAUUCCCCCAGUAGCGGCGAGCGAACGGGGAGGAGCCCAGAGCCUGAAUCAGUAUGUGUGUUAGUGGAAGCGUCUGGAAAGGCGAGCGAUACAGGGUGACAGCCCCGUACACAAAAAUGCACAUGCUGUGAGCUCGAUGAGUAGGGCGGGACACGUGGUAUCCUGUCUGAAUAUGGGGGGACCAUCCUCCAAGGCUAAAUACUCCUGACUGACCGAUAGUGAACCAGUACCGUGAGGGAAAGGCGAAAAGAACCCCGGCGAGGGGAGUGAAAAAGAACCUGAAACCGUGUACGUACAAGCAGUGGGAGCACGCUUAGGCGUGUGACUGCGUACCUUUUGUAUAAUGGGUCAGCGACUUAUAUUCUGUAGCAAGGUUAACCGAAUAGGGGAGCCGAAGGGAAACCGAGUCUUAACUGGGCGUUAAGUUGCAGGGUAUAGACCCGAAACCCGGUGAUCUAGCCAUGGGCAGGUUGAAGGUUGGGUAACACUAACUGGAGGACCGAACCGACUAAUGUUGAAAAAUUAGCGGAUGACUUGUGGCUGGGGGUGAAAGGCCAAUCAAACCGGGAGAUAGCUGGUUCUCCCCGAAAGCUAUUUAGGUAGCGCCUCGUGAAUUCAUCUCCGGGGGUAGAGCACUGUUUCGGCAAGGGGGUCAUCCCGACUUACCAACCCGAUGCAAACUGCGAAUACCGGAGAAUGUUAUCACGGGAGACACACGGCGGGUGCUAACGUCCGUCGUGAAGAGGGAAACAACCCAGACCGCCAGCUAAGGUCCCAAAGUCAUGGUUAAGUGGGAAACGAUGUGGGAAGGCCCAGACAGCCAGGAUGUUGGCUUAGAAGCAGCCAUCAUUUAAAGAAAGCGUAAUAGCUCACUGGUCGAGUCGGCCUGCGCGGAAGAUGUAACGGGGCUAAACCAUGCACCGAAGCUGCGGCAGCGACGCUUAUGCGUUGUUGGGUAGGGGAGCGUUCUGUAAGCCUGCGAAGGUGUGCUGUGAGGCAUGCUGGAGGUAUCAGAAGUGCGAAUGCUGACAUAAGUAACGAUAAAGCGGGUGAAAAGCCCGCUCGCCGGAAGACCAAGGGUUCCUGUCCAACGUUAAUCGGGGCAGGGUGAGUCGACCCCUAAGGCGAGGCCGAAAGGCGUAGUCGAUGGGAAACAGGUUAAUAUUCCUGUACUUGGUGUUACUGCGAAGGGGGGACGGAGAAGGCUAUGUUGGCCGGGCGACGGUUGUCCCGGUUUAAGCGUGUAGGCUGGUUUUCCAGGCAAAUCCGGAAAAUCAAGGCUGAGGCGUGAUGACGAGGCACUACGGUGCUGAAGCAACAAAUGCCCUGCUUCCAGGAAAAGCCUCUAAGCAUCAGGUAACAUCAAAUCGUACCCCAAACCGACACAGGUGGUCAGGUAGAGAAUACCAAGGCGCUUGAGAGAACUCGGGUGAAGGAACUAGGCAAAAUGGUGCCGUAACUUCGGGAGAAGGCACGCUGAUAUGUAGGUGAAGCGACUUGCUCGUGGAGCUGAAAUCAGUCGAAGAUACCAGCUGGCUGCAACUGUUUAUUAAAAACACAGCACUGUGCAAACACGAAAGUGGACGUAUACGGUGUGACGCCUGCCCGGUGCCGGAAGGUUAAUUGAUGGGGUCAGCGCAAGCGAAGCUCUUGAUCGAAGCCCCGGUAAACGGCGGCCGUAACUAUAACGGUCCUAAGGUAGCGAAAUUCCUUGUCGGGUAAGUUCCGACCUGCACGAAUGGCGUAAUGAUGGCCAGGCUGUCUCCACCCGAGACUCAGUGAAAUUGAACUCGCUGUGAAGAUGCAGUGUACCCGCGGCAAGACGGAAAGACCCCGUGAACCUUUACUAUAGCUUGACACUGAACAUUGAGCCUUGAUGUGUAGGAUAGGUGGGAGGCUUUGAAGUGUGGACGCCAGUCUGCAUGGAGCCGACCUUGAAAUACCACCCUUUAAUGUUUGAUGUUCUAACGUUGACCCGUAAUCCGGGUUGCGGACAGUGUCUGGUGGGUAGUUUGACUGGGGCGGUCUCCUCCUAAAGAGUAACGGAGGAGCACGAAGGUUGGCUAAUCCUGGUCGGACAUCAGGAGGUUAGUGCAAUGGC
rnacentral:rRNA from 1 species